AUUGAACGCUGGCGGCAUGCUUUACACAUGCAAGUCGAACGGUAACAGGCCGCAAGGUGCUGACGAGUGGCGAACGGGUGAGUAAUGCAUCGGAACGUGCCCAGUCGUGGGGGAUAACGCAGCGAAAGCUGUGCUAAUACCGCAUACGAUCUAUGGAUGAAAGCGGGGGACCGUAAGGCCUCGGGCGAUUGGAGCGGCCGAUGUCAGAUUAGGUAGUUGGUGGGGUAAAGGCCUACCAAGCCGACGAUCUGUAGCUGGUCUGAGAGGACGACCAGCCACACUGGGACUGAGACAGGGCCCAGACUCCUACGGGAGGCAGCAGUGGGGAAUUUUGGACAAUGGGCGCAAGCCUGAUCCAGCAAUGCCGCGUGCAGGAAGAAGGCCUUCGGGUUGUAAACUGCUUUUGUACGGAACGAAACGGUCUGGGUUAAUACCCUGGGCUAAUGACGGUACCGUAAGAAUAAGCACCGGCUAACUACGUGCCAGCCGCCGCCGUAACAC
rnacentral:rRNA from 1 species